AUUGAACGCUGGCGGCAUGCCUUACACAUGCAAGUCGAACGGCAGCACGGGUGCUUGCACCUGGUGGCGAGUGGCGAACGGGUGAGUAAUACAUCGGAACGUCCCUUAUCGUGGGGGAUAACAACUUGAAAAAUUUGCUAAUACCGCAUAAUACCCUGAGGAGGAAAGGGGGGAAUUCGUAAGAACCCCGUGCGAUUAGAGAGGCCGAUGGCUGAUUAGCUAGUUGGUGAGGUAAAGGCCGACCAAGGCAACGAUCAGGAGCAGGUCUGAGAGGAUGAUCUGCCACACUGGAACUGAGAAACGGUCCAGACUCCUACGGGAGGCAGCAGUGGGGAAUUUUGGACAAUGGACGAAAGUCUGAUCCAGCAAUGCCGCGUGAGUGAAGAAGGCCUUCGGGUUGUAAAGCUCUUUUGUCAGUGAAGAAAACUUUAAUAAUAACACUAUUAAAGCAUGACGGUAACUGAAGAAUAAGGACCGGCCAACUACGUGCCAGCAGCCGCGGUAAAAC
rnacentral:rRNA from 1 species